rnacentral:rRNA from 1 species
UAACGCGUGAGUAACCUGCCCUCGGAGUGGGGGACGAACAGUUGGAAACGACUGCUAAUACCGCAUAAGCCCACGAUCCGGCAUCGGAUUGAGGGAAAAGGAUUUAUUCGCUUCAGGAUGGACUCGCGUCCAAUUAGCUAGUUGGUGAGGUAACGGCCCACCAAGGCGACGAUUGGUAGCCGGACUGAGAGGUUGAACGGCCACAUUGGGACUGAGACACGGCCCAGACUCCUACGGGAGGCAGCAUG